UAAGGAAUAUUGGUCAAUGGAGGGAACUCUGAACUAGCCAUGCCGCGUGAAGGAUGACGGCCCUCUGGGUUGUAAACUUCUUUUGGAUGGGGCGAAAAAACGGGAUUUAUCCUGGACUGACGGUACCAUCAGAAUAAGCACCGGCUAACUCCGUGCCAGCAGCCGCGGUAAUACGGAGGGUGCAAGCGUUAUCCGGAAUCACUGGGUUUAAAGGGUGCGUAGGCGGUUGUAUAAGUCAGGGGUGAAAGCACGCAGCUUAACUGUGUAAUUGCCUUUGAUACUGUACGGCUUGAAUAGGGUUGAGGUUGGCGGAAUGUGACAUGUAGCGGUGAAAUGCAUAGAUAUGUCAUAGAACACCGAUUGGCAAGGCAGCUGACUGGGCCUAUAUUGACGCUGAGGCCA
rnacentral:rRNA from 1 species